ensembl:rRNA 5S_rRNA 5S ribosomal RNA
GCUUACGGCCAUACCUCUCUGGCUCCGCCUGAUCUCGUCUGAUCUCAGAAGCUAAGCAGAGUAGGGGCCUGGUUAGUACUUGGAUAGAAGACCGCCUGGGAAUCCCAGGUGCCUGUAAGCU